rnacentral:rRNA from 1 species
CUUCAUUAGCUUGCUUUUGAAGAUCAGCGGCGGACGGGUGAGUAACACGUGGGCAACCUGCCUGUAAGACUGGGAUAACUUCGGGAAACCGGAGCUAAUACCGGAUAAUCCUUUUCCUCUCAUGAGGAAAAGCUGAAAGACGGUUUCGGCUGUCACUUACAGAUGGGCCCGCGGCGCAUUAGCUAGUUGGUGAGGUAACGGCUCACCAAGGCAACGAUGCGUAGCCGACCUGAGAGGGUGAUCGGCCACACUGGGACUGAGACACGGCCCAGACUCCUACGGGAGGCAGCAGUAGGGAAUCUUCCGCAAUGGACGAAAGUCUGACGGAGCAACGCCGCGUGAGCGAUGAAGGCCUUCGGGUCGUAAAGCUCUGUUGUCAGGGAAGAACAAGUAUCGGAGUAACUGCCGGUACCUUGACGGUACCUGACCAGAAAGCCACGGCUAACUACGUGCCAGCAGCCGCGGUAAUACGUAGGUGGCAAGCGUUGUCCGGAAUUAUUGGGCGUAAAGCGCGCGCAGGCGGUUCCUUAAGUCUGAUGUGAAAGCCCCCGGCUCAACCGGGGAGGGUCAUUGGAAACUGGGGAACUUGAGUGCAGAAGAGGAGAGCGGAAUUCCACGUGUAGCGGUGAAAUGCGUAGAGAUGUGGAGGAACACCAGUGGCGAAGGCGGCUCUCUGGUCUGUAACUGACGCUGAGGCGCGAAAGCGUGGGGAGCGAACAG